GGGCGUAUGGUCUAGUGGUAUGAUUUCUGUUUUGCAAUGAAAAUUUCUUACAGAAGGUCCCGCGUUCAAUCCGCGGUGCGUCCA